rnacentral:rRNA from 1 species
UACAGAGGUCCCAAGCGUUGUUCGGAUUCACUGGGCGUAAAGGGUGCGUAGGUGGUCAGGUAAGUCGGAUGUGAAAUCUCCGAGCUCAACUCGGAAACUGCAUUGGAAACUACCUGGCUCGAGGGUUGGAGGGGGGACUGGAAUGCUUGGUGUAGCAGUGAAAUGCGUAGAUAUCAAGCGGAACACCAGUGGCGAAGGCGAGUCCCUGGACAGUUACUGACGCUGAGGCACGAAGGCCAGGGGAGCAAACGGG